GUGCCAAUAACUCGGAGUUCCGUCCCCCUCAAACAGGGGUGUGUCGUGACGUCAAAGGUAACGAAGAGAUGUGUGCAAUGAGGCGUGCGUAUCGGAGGGGUGUGUCUACUCUGCAGUACACUGGUAGGCUGGAGACGCAACGUCGCUGCAUGGCGAUGUUGCCAUACAUUUACAAUACACCAGCGGUGGCCGAGUGUGCUAAAAAAAAACCCAACCCAAAAAACCCCUAGACGAUUACACACCUCCACUACACGCUUUCACAAGCAAAAUACGUGAUGAGAGUGGAAGUAAAUGCGGCCAUUGCCAGGAAAGAAGAGCCCCGGUGACAGGGGGAGAUGAAAGGCAUGAUGCUGGGAUUCAGGAAGCAGCAAGGACAAGGAGGAAACAACAUGAUCAAUAUGUGUGACGUGGAGUCAGCACU